rnacentral:rRNA from 1 species
GACAGAGGGUGCAAACGUUGCUCGGAAUUACUGGGCGUAAAGGGCGCGUAGGCGGCCUUCUAAGUCGAACGUGAAAUCCCCGGGCUCAACCCGGGAACUGCGUCCGAUACUGGAAGGCUUGAAUCCGGGAGAGGGAUGCGGAAUUCCAGGUGUAGCGGUGAAAUGCGUAGAUAUCUGGAGGAACACCGGUGGCGAAGGCGGCAUCCUGGACCGGCAUUGACGCUGAGGCGCGAAAGCCAGGGGAGCAAACGGG